rnacentral:rRNA from 1 species
UACGUAGGGGGCAAGCGUUGUCCGGAUUUAUUGGGCGUAAAGAGCGUGUAGGCGGCCAGACAGGUCCGUUGUGAAAACUAGAGGCUUAACCUCUAGACGUCGAUGGAAACCGUUUGGCUAGAGUCCGGAAGAGGAGAAUGGAAUUCCUGGUGUAGCGGUGAAAUGCGCAGAUAUCAGGAAGAACACCCGUGGCUAAGGCGGUUCUCUAGUACGGUACUGACGCUGAGACGCGAAAGCGUGGGGAGCGAACAGG